CUACCUGAAAAAACCGUAGCAGCCAUGGAAAACCAGCAGCCAUACACUCUCCAAUUUUCCAAUUCCAGAUUCCUCAAUCCCUUCUUCUCUAGGGUUUACUUUUUUCUUCUUCCUGCAACCUUCCUCGAUGGUUUCCUCGAUUCCAUCCUCUCUUCCAUAGCCGUCGAACUCACCACCUCCAUUUCUUCUCCAAACUACCGUCGAACUCACCACUCCUCUCCUCUGUUCAAAAUCGCGGGCUUCCCUUUCCAUCAUCUCCAUUCCUUGACACCUCUUGUUUCCUAGCCUGACACCGUUCAUCAUCUCCAUCCCAUCGUCCAUCUCCAACUCCAUAACUACUUUACCUUCCUCAACCAAUUCCAGAAUGGGACGCCUUUGAUGCAUACAGUCUUCACCUCUGGAAAAUUGGAAAAAGGCCUUGUGCCGUUGAAGUGCCAUUCUUCUGAACCUGGAUCCUCUCCUUUCUCAUAUAUUCGGCCGCAGAAGAGGUUGCUCUACAAAGGCCAAGUAUCAUGACACUGAAGGAGCUGAAAUGAAACCAAGAAGAAGGAGAAGUGAUGUUGCACAAUCCGGAAGGGUUGAGAUUGAGAACCUUGGUCAUAUUGAGAUUCUUAUUUGUGCUCAAAUUUGUUAUAUACUACUUGUUACAAUUCUUUUCUCCUUGAUGAAUUGGAAAACCCCCUUUUAGUUAACAUGGUUAUUUUACUAAUUUGAUUGGUUAGUCCUUCUUUUCCCCUUCCUGUUUUCUGUUUUCAUUUUUUCUUUCUCUUAUGGGUCAACCAGUUACAAAAGGACCCUCUGUUAGUCAUUAUACCAAGCUGUUAUUUUCCUUAUAGGUUUAUAGGCUUAUAGUGCUAUAGCGUGGCAAAUGCAUAGUUGGUGCUAACUUCUGUUUUAAUAUUUUUUGCCGUCACUCCAAUCUCAUUUCUGUCGAUGAAUCUAUUAUAAUGUCAAAUUGGUCGUGUUUUAUACUUAACAGCUUGUCUGAUAUUUCAGUUGAUAUAUGCUCAUUUCAAAUGCAUCAUCUUUGUAUAGCUAGUUUAGAUCUGGUUCACUUGCCAAUAUACUUCUGAUUCUAAUGAGGUGGUCAUCAUGGCAGGUUUCUUGUAGCUUUCUCUGGGAAGUAUCUGAAGUAUGAUUACUGUGUUCCUUCUCCACAUAACUGGUCUGAAGACAAUAUUUCGUGUGUUUAUGACCUCAAACAGAAGAAUGUCUCUUUAGGCCUGCAUUUAUUGAGGUAGUCAUUGACCUCUUGCUCUGUUUCCUUAACUGCUCCUUGACAUAGAUGCUUUAUUUGCUAAUGCUAUGUUUCUUAACUUGUACAUUAGGAACACUUUAUGUUGGCCAUAGCCCAUAACUACUGUUGGGCCUGUUGAAUGUGUAUGUUUGCUUUUAGAUUUGUUAACUUCUGAGACACUUAUCACAAUUGAAUUUUGCCUGCAUGGAGUGAGAUUCUAGAAUAUCGUCUAAACAAAUUAGGAAACAUAAGAAACUUUAAUCUUCACAGUUCAGUACUUUGAGCAUAAGCCCUUUGUAUAAUUUGGGUGCCAUUUUUGGUCGGUAAUUCCUUUUUGUAUUUUUUACUGGUAUAAUUUUCUUAUAAAUGAGUUUUAGGCAUCAUAAGAUCACCAUAGUGAAGCUUGCCACACUGUAGCAAUAGCAUAUCCAUAGAAAGUCACUUCCCUUUAUUGAAUUCUGCACUUUAUCUUUUUUCUUUAUACUUAACUGCUUCUAAUAUGAAGUACAUGUAAUUUAAGUUAGGAUGCUCUCUGCCUAACAGUUGCUGAAUUUAUAGUUUUGUAACAUUUAUUAUUAAUGUAUUGCUGAAUUUAUAUAUUCUAGUCUCCAACCAAACAUAUUUUAUCUCUGGACAGUGACAUUUUAUGUAAAUUUGGUGGAUGUUUUAGCUGUGAUCCUUCAAUUUACAUGGGUUGCAGCUUAUUGGUUUAGCACUUCCCCUGGCUGUUAAAACUCCAAGUAUAUUUUGAUGAGGUUUUUAAAAGAGAAUGAAUAUGACCUAACAAUAGCACUUCCGAUGAGGCCACCCUAGUGGAAGGUGUAUCCUUUUGGUCUUUUCAAUUUCAUGUCAAUCUUGAUAUCCAUUUUUUCUCCUUCAUUGUUCAAUAAAUUCAGGCUCCAUUUCGAUUUGAUCAGUGGAAUAUUAUUUACUUCUACAGGAUUGAUUUUAUGAUGUGUGUGAGAGUAAUGGCAGGUGAUUAUAUCCUUUCUUAACUUGGCCUCGCCGCGAUGGUCCGUGAUCGCAAUUUGAUAACACCGGCUACUGCUAUAAGUGGAUACACUAGCAACUCUGCUUCUGCCAAGAAGUGCAGAAAGAAGUGCAACUAUGUUUGGAGUUUCAACAGAAUCAAUGCAGUUAUCAUAUGACACAAGAGGGAGCAGUGUGCCGACAAUUUUGUUACAAAUGCAAAGGCACUUGUAUGCCCAAGGAGGGUUGCAGGCAGAGGGGAUUUUCAGAAUUAAUACAGACAAUACUCACACUGAAGCUUCCCUUCUUGACUGGGCUAUUAAUCUGAUGGUUGAUGUUGUCCAAGAGGAACAUCUGAGUAAGAUGAAUGCACACAAUAUUGCCAUGGUUCCAGUAAACUCAGUUUCUCCAGGAAUAGAAGGGAGGAAAAUGCAUACAUAUACUGUAUUAGUCCUUUUCAUUUUUGUUAUAAGAUUGCAGAUCAUAGUUAAAAUAUUGCUAAUGUAAUUUUUUAUCUUAUGCUCAAAGACGGAAGUGAAAUUUUUUAAUUUUGUUGGUUUUGAGUUUGUAUGGUUAUGCCUAUAGGUGUGACUUUUUAAUUGAUUCCAAACAUUGGUUUUUUUU